rnacentral:rRNA from 1 species
GACAGAGGGUGCAAGCGUUGUUCGGAUUUACUGGGCGUAAAGGGCGGGUAGGCGGCCACCGCAAGUCGACUGUGAAAUCUCCGGGCUUAACCCGGAAAGGUCAGCCGAUACUGCGGGGCUAGAGUGCAGAAGGGGCAACUGGAAUUCUCGGUGUAGCGGUGAAAUGCGUAGAUAUCGAGAGGAACACCUGCGGCGAAGGCGGGUUGCUGGGCUGACACUGACGCUGAACUGCGAAAGCUAGGGGAGCGAACGGG